AGCACAAGCAACCCUUCAGAUUAGAAUUAGAAUAUCCCACUGAUGUAAAUAAAAUGAAACGUCUUCUGUUUUCCAGCACUUCAACAGUCAGAAGCAACUUGUUUUUGAUCCAUAAAAAUUAACGUUGCACAAAAUUAUUCCAAAUGGUGGUUGCCCACCUGGUCCACUCUCACCUGGGCUGCUUGAUUUCCACUUCUGUACAGUGGACUCAAGUCACUGUAAAUGUGAGUGACAGGUCAAGUGGCUAAUAAUGACAACCCUGGAAUAGAAGACACCCCUUCCACAUCACCUGUGAGAGGGUCCAUUCAGCUCAAUCCUACAAAUGUUUACUCAGAAGUCCAUCAUUAAUUGAACAUUGGAGCACUCCGUGGAUCAGAUUUGUGUAAUAGUCCUCCCAGAACGACGGCAGAUACAGCAUUUCAGUUGGCAUGGCUUAGAAUGGAUAUUUUUUUGCCAAAAACAAGAUAUAUGGAUUUGUCUUCAUUAAGUUAAUCUAUACACACAGCUUCAGGGGUUAUCUUCAUUAAAGCUCAUGUGUUUAAAACACUCAAAGUUCACUUAAAAAUAAUCAUCUGUCCAAGUUCAAAACAAGUGUGAAUAUUACCCAAUAAAAAGCUGGAUGUUUUAGCAAGUUAA